GCUAAGACGGCUGUUGGAAAAGUCCUCGAUCUCCAUAAAUUAGAAUAGAAUGAAAAAGAUUUUUGUUUUCACCUCCGUGAAAAUAUGGAAUUGUUUAUCUUAUCGGAGAAGAUAUACAACAGCAUCUCACUGAAAUCAAAUAAAUAUCCUUUAUAUACAUUUAUAGAGAAAACUGUUAAAACAAUUAAAAGUGCAACCAUAUAUGUUAUAAUUUUGUUUACAGAUGUCAAAAAGAAAUGGAUUGUUACUUUGAUAUAAAUGCAUUUUGUCAAAAUGUAUCAAAGUUACAAUCCAAUGAUAAGUUCAAAAUAUUGAAAUAUAGUAUAGCUAUUUCUUUUCUUAAAAUGUUUUAAUAGAAUAAAAUGCAAAUGACAUAUUGCAUGAAUACGAAGGUCAUACAUAUAUUUACAAUAUAAAAAAUAUUCUUUUUAUUAUAUGCUUUGUUCUGACAAAAACGAUAUUGUUUACGUGCAAAAGUAGCACAAAGAACAUUUACGUGCUUCCCCACUGAAUUAGUUUCGCAGUAAGUGUAAACAUGGGUUUUUAAUUACGUGAAAGACAACUUGAUAUCCAUGAUUUUUUCCCACUAUUUUAACCACGAAACAUUUCAGAACAAUCCAAUGAAAAUAUAAAAGUAAACAAGUUUUAGACUGAUUAUCAUCCGUCUAAGCUUGACAAAGAUUGAAUAGAUGUAUGCUUAAUGACACGUUAUUGAGAUAUAAGCAUUUGUAAAGAACUUAGAUUUUGUGAGAAAGGGAAAAUUCAAAGCAAGCGACUUUUCACCGCGUCUCCUUUCGCCGGGAAAAUAAUGAUGUUCAUAUCCACAGAGUUCCUGCUGUGCCUUCUGUCAAUGCAUGUACAAGUUUCAGUGCAGCCACCAAGGGGAUGUCCUUUCGCUUUUGGCUGCCUAAUUUGCCUGCCUCCAUACCAUUGUACAUCGUGUGAGAGAGGUUUUUAUAAGAUGAGGGAAGGUGCGUAUAAUCAAUGUAGAGCAUGUCCACCGCGGUGUGCAGAAUGUGAAAGACGUUCUAAUUGUACAGUUUGUUCCGUAAAGAAUCAUUAUCAUAUUGCAGGAGUGUCUGCAGUAAAGGAUGUCUUAAUUCGACUUGCGACCAAUUAUCGGGCACAUGCCUAUGUAAAGAUAACUAUGUUGGUAGUCAUUGUGAAUAUUGUAAGAACGGAAAGUAUGGAUUUAACUCUAACUGUUCAAUGGACUGUCCAGUUAAUUGUAAGACAUGUAUUUCUGACACAAACUGUACAGAAUGUAAAGACGGUUACUAUGGUAACACUUGCGAGAUUUCUUGUUCCGUAGGAUGUUAUUUGGGUAAAUGCAGUCAAGUUAAUGGCACUUGUUACCGAAAUAAAUGCAAACCAAACUUUAAUGGCAUAAAUUGUGACCAAUGUUUUCGAGGACGAUUUGGAAAAUAUUGCCAGUCCGCUUGUCCAAAAAACUGUGUCUCCUGUUCUUCGAAAGCUGCAUGUGACAAAUGUAGAGAUGGAUUCUGGGGUGACACAUGCCAGAAUAAUUGUUCUCCUGGAUGUUUAGGAGACAUUUGCAUGAAAACGUCUGGGGUAUGCCAGGUCAAUACAUGCAGGACCGGUUUUGCUGGAGAAAAAUGCGACAGAUGCACUCCCGGAAAGCAAGGUUUCAGCUGCAAUGUUAACAAAACAGGCAUAUAUACAGAAUCCAAUUCCAAAGGACAUUAAAUCAUUCAAUUCAGAAUCUUAUUAUACAUCUGCAAUUGCUAUGAUAUUAUGUAUUAAAUUCAUGUGACAUUUCAUAUACAUAUUUGUUGUUUUACGCAUUUUACUGACAUGUCCAACCCUUUAGGAAACAAGUGUAUACUUCAAUGCAUUGAUGUGUCUGCUCACAUAUUUCCUGAAUAAUCUAUAAGCUUAUACAAAGAUAUACUCUUGCACCAGUCAGUCUCUUUGCUUUAAAAAUAAUUCAAUUUAGAUAACUUUUAUAUAAUUACAUGUUUCAGGGAUGACAAUAUGAAGUGUGCGUUG
rnacentral:lncRNA from 1 species